rnacentral:rRNA from 1 species
GACGAACGCUGGCGGCGUGCUUAACACAUGCAAGUCGAACGAAGUGGCGAACGGGUGAGUAACGCGUAAUCAACCUGCCCUUCCGAGGGGGACAACAGUUGGAAACGACUGCUAAUACCGCAUACUGAAGGUGGGGAUUGCGUCUGCUGAGCUAGUUGGAGGGGUAACGGCCCACAAAGGCGAUGAUCAGUAGCCGGUCGGAUAGGAUUAACGGCCACAUUGGGACUGAGACACUGCCCAGACGCGUACGGGAGGCAGCAGUGGGGAAGCUUCCGCAAUGGACGAAAGUCUGACGGAGCAACGCCGCGUGAGUGAUGACGGCCUUCGGGUUGUAAAGCGCUGUUAAUCGGGACGCGGUACCGGAAUAGAAAGCCACGGCUAACUACGUGCCAGCAGCCGCGGUAAUAC